UAAAGAUUCAUCGCUGAUAGAUAGGCAUGCGUUCCAUUAGGCAGUUGGCGGGGUAACGGCCCACCAAACCGACGAUGGAUAGGGGUUCUGAGAGGAAGGUCCCCCACAUUGGUACUGAGACACGGACCAAACUCCUACGGGAGGCAGCAGUGAGGAAUAUUGGUCAAUGGGCGUAAGCCUGAACCAGCCAAGUCGCGUGAGGGAUGAAGGUUCUAUGGAUCGUAAACCUCUUUUAUAAGGGAAUAAAGUGUGGGACGUGUCCUAUUUUGUAUGUACCUUAUGAAUAAGGAUCGGCUAACUCCGUGCCAGCAGCCGCGGUAAUACGGAGGAUCCGAGCGUUAUCCGGAUUUAUUGGGUUUAAAGGGUGCGUAGGCGGCCUUUUAAGUCAGCGGUGAAAGUCUGUGGCUCAACCAUAGAAUUGCCGUUGAAACUGGGGGGCUUGAGUAUGUUUGAGGCAGGCGGAAUGCGUGGUGUAGCGGUGAAAUGCUUAGAUAUCACGCAGAACCCCGAUUGCGAAGGCAGCCUGCCAAGCCAUGACUGACGCUGAUGCACGAAAGCGUGGGGAUCAAACAGGAUUAGAUACCCUGGUAGUCCACGCAGUAAA
rnacentral:rRNA from 1 species